rnacentral:rRNA from 1 species
GAUGAACGCUAGCUACAGGCUUAACACAUGCAAGUCGAGGGACCGGCGCACGGGUGAGUAACACGUAUCCAACCUGCCCUUUACUCGGGGAUAGCCUUUCGACAGAAAGAUUAAUACACGAUGUAACGGAUGGGGAUGCGUUUCAUUAGUUUGUUGUUGAGGUAACGGCUCACCAAGCCUUCGAUGGAUAGGGGUUCUGAGAGGAAGGUGCCCCACAAUGGAACUGAGACACGGUCCAAACUCCUACGGGAGGCAGCAGUGAGGAAUAUUUGUCAAUGGGCGUUAGCCUGAACCAGCCAAGUAGCGUGAAGGAUGAAGGCUUAUGGGUCGUAAACUUCUUUUAUAUAAGAAUAUGUAUUAUAUGAAUAAGGAUCGGCUAACUCCGUGCCAGCCGCCGCGGUAAUUC